UAGGAAGAUGGGGAUUGAUCCACUAGGAGUAGCCUCAGCCCUCAUUCACAGAGCACUUAACUAAACGACCAGCUAUGCCUUACACUAUGAUGGAGAGAGAGGACAUGAUUUGGAAUCAGGACAUUUGGAUACCACCCAGCACGUCUACCUAUCAACACAGAUUGAAAGACGACUCCUGGAAGGCUGGGCACAGUCAUCUCAUAAAUUACAAACAGCUGAUCCUAAUAAUUAUGUAUAUGGCAUUUUUAUCUUGUGAACAACAUACUUCUGAAGAUGGAGGGAUGGGACUAUAACAACUAUUUCUUUACUUUUUUCAUUUGUAAGUUUUACACUUGUGAUACAGUUUGCCAAAAUUUAUUUAGUAACUAAAAUUUACAAAUCAACUUAGAAACCAUUGUGUUUUUACGAGAGCCUUUAGAUGACAGCAAAUUAUGGUAUAUUUAUUCAUUGUAGCUAAAAAUUAAGAAUGACACUUGUUAAGGCACUUAGUCAUGCUUUUUAUCUUCCAUUCUCUUUCUUUCUUUUACCUAUAAUUUCUACUCAAUCUUGGGAUUUACUGUUCAUGUAACUUCUUUCACUAAUGCAAAUCAGAAUGGCCAAAAUAAUCCUCUGUGAAUAAGUAACAAGUAUGAUAUAUUGAAAGUGGCGAGCUGGCUCCAUCUUAACAGUUUCUGGGACUUAACAAUCUUGCUGAAUGGUGUUUAGAUUCAGGAAGCAUCUCACACACCUUCUCAUAGAAUAAUAAAAUAAUAAUCAAUGUCUCAAAAGGACAAGCAACAACUCACUGGUUGAGGUGUACCUGGUAGAUGGUGAGCUUUGCCCCUGCGUGGUACAGGUUGGGUGUUCCUAAUUAACACUAACAACACUGACAAAACUGUUCACCUUUUUGAAUUGCUCUAUUUAAAUUUUUUCCUUAUUUUUGAUCUGUCACAUGUUAAACCUCUCCAAGAUCACAUUUCUUCUCUUUUGUUUAGAUUGCAGUUGAUAAUUCUUUUCUUCCCUAAAUUAAAACAAUAAAUACGUUU